GCACAAGCGGUGGAGCAUGUGGAUUAAUUCGAUGCAACGCGAAGAACCUUACCUGGGUUUGACAUGCACAGGACGCUGGUAGAGAUAUCAGUUCCCUUGUGGUCUGUGUGCAGGUGGUGCAUGGCUGUCGUCAGCUCGUGUCGUGAGAUGUUGGGUUAAGUCCCGCAACGAGCGCAACCCUUGUCUCAUGUUGCCAGCGCGUUAUGGCGGGGACUCGUGAGAGACUGCCGGGGUCAACUCGGAGGAAGGUGGGGAUGACGUCAAGUCAUCAUGCCCCUUAUGUCCAGGGCUUCACACAUGCUACAAUGGCCGGUACAAAGGGCUGCGAUGCCGUGAGGCUUAGCGAAUCCUUUAAAGCCGGUCUCAGUUCGGAUCGGGGUCUGCAACUCGACCCCGUGAAGUCGGAGUCGCUAGUAAUCGCAGAUCAGCAACGCUGCGGUGAAUACGUUCCCGGGC
rnacentral:rRNA from 1 species